GGGCGUGUGGUCUAGUGGAAUGAUUCUCGCUUUGGGUGCGAGAGGCCCUGGGUUCAAUUCCCAGCUCGCCCC
rnacentral:tRNA from 6 species